GACGAACGCUGGCGGCGUGCCUAAUACAUGCAAGUCGAACGAGAGCGACCGGUGCUUGCACUGGUCAAUCUAGUGGCGAACGGGUGAGUAACACGUGGGUGACCUGCUCAUCAGAGGGGGAUAACAUCCGGAAACGGAUGCUAAAACCGCAUAGGUCUUCGAGCCGCAUGGCUUGAAGAGGAAAAGAGGCGCAAGCUUCUGCUGAUGGAUGGACCCGCGGUGCAUUAGCUAGUUGGUGAGGUAACGGCUCACCAAGGCCGUGAUGCAUAGCCGACCUGAGAGGGUGAUCGGCCACAUUGGGACUGAGACACGGCCCAAACUCCUACGGGAGGCAGCAGUAGGGAAUCUUCCGCAAUGGACGCAAGUCUGACGGAGCAACGCCGCGUGAGUGAAGAAGGUUUUCGGAUCGUAAAACUCUGUUGUUAGAGAAGAACAAGUGCUAGAGUAACUGUUAGCGACUUGACGGUAUCUAACCAGAAAGCCACGGCUAACUACGUG
rnacentral:rRNA from 1 species